rnacentral:rRNA from 1 species
ACGUAGGGGGCAAGCGUUAUCCGGAUUUACUGGGUGUAAAGGGAGCGUAGACGGCAUGACAAGUCUGAAGUGAAAGCCCGGGGCUCAACCCCGGGACUGCUUUGGAAACUGUCAGGCUAGAGUGCUGGAGAGGUAAGUGGAAUUCCUAGUGUAGCGGUGAAAUGCGUAGAUAUUAGGAGGAACACCAGUGGCGAAGGCGGCUUACUGGACAGUGACUGACGUUGAGGCUCGAAAGCGUGGGGAGCAAACAG